GGAUCUGCAAGGCAGCUUUCCCUUCCCAUGGUGUAAGUCAAAUGGCAGAAAUGAAAUAAAGCACUUCAUGUAUCCUCCGGUGUUAACAGGAAAAUGUGAGUCUUCUUGACCUUGUUUCUUCCUGGGUAAAAUGAAGAUAAUAUGUCAGGAGUCGACAAGCCCAUUUAGGGCAGGAACCAUGUUGUCUUGUUCACUGCUGAAUCCCAGGCACCAGGAAGGCUGAGUUUAACAAGUGAGUGAAUGAAUGAACUGUAGUUCCCCCAGAGUUACCAUGUUGGGCAGUGUGGAUUAGCAGCUAAGAGCAUAGACUCGAGAGGUGAGGGUACAGCUCAAGUGAUGGGGCGCAUGUUUAGCACGCAUAACGUCCUGGGUUCAGCCCCCAACACCUCCUCUAAAAUAGACAAAUAACCCUAAUUACCUCCCCACCCCCAUCAGAAUUACCUUAUUAUCUCCCUGCCACCAAAAAAAAAAAAAAAGGUAGAAGUGGCCAAGAGCGUAGACUCAGGCUGGAACACUUGUGCUGGUUUCUCGCUGUCUACCUUGUAAAAGUCAUUUAGCCUCUGUGUUUAUCAAGUUCCUCAUCAAUAAAAUGGGGAUAAUAAUAGUACCCACCUCGUAGAGAUGCUAUGGGGAUUAAUGAAUCUGCUUGAAUUUUAGAACAGCCCUGGCUAAUAGUAAGUACUAUGCAUCUGCCAGCUCUUUUCAUAAUUACUGACAGAUGUUAUUAUCAACCAAAGAAGUAUUAGUUCUUUGUAAGGGAAAUGCAUGUUAGACCAUUUCAUUUAUCAUUUUCUGUAAUUCAGGCUUUUUCCCUCUGAAAUACCAUUUUCUGUCUGUGCACUAGUAAAUCACAGGGCUUUCCAAAUUUCAUCUGUCUGAGUUCUUGUCAUGAUGACAAUACUGCAGAGUUUUGACAUUUUUUAGGGACUCCAUCUGAGAUGACAGCAACCCCUCAAAUUCAGAAGCACUUCUCUAACUGACAACAUCUCGCAUGAAAUGAAGUUUGUAAAAUUGCAACUUCAGCCUCCAUCAGAGGACCUCAGCUGCCCCAGCGAACAGGGCCUUCUGUACAGGGAAUGUGCUCCUCCUCGAAGCAUAGACAAGAAGCAGCCCUUAGAUCUCAUCAGGAAAUUCUAUGGAGAGAAGGUCGGAAUCUACUUUGCUUGGGCUGGGCUAUUACAUUCAGAUGCUCCUCCUGGCAGCAGUCGUGGGGGUGACUUGCUUUCUUGUGACCCAGGUGGCUGUCUCCUUGAACUGAUGAUGCAGCUGACAAUAAUCAUGGGAGGACAGUCCAUCUGGAAUAACAUACAAGAGGUGUUACUUCCCUGGGUCAUGAAUCUAAUGAUGCCACAGUUUCGGGAGCAGAACAGACCACCCCACGAUGGGAAUGGGACAACCAUCUGUAUCCAACGGGCAAACUGGGGUUAUUUUAUGAAUACCCUGAAAUGAGAGUAAAAGAAUUUAUGUUGUCCUUCCAUCCAUCCACCACUCCAUGUUUUGUGUCCAUUCCUUCAACAGGUAUUCAGUUUGGGUUCACCACAGUAUAUGUGGCCUCUUUCCAGUGGCCCCUCUGUUGGCUCUGGAGAACAAUAUAUUGGAAAUCAGAGUGGGUACGUGGAAACUUGACUACCCAGUAUAGACGCAUUGUGCCAGAAAAAGCCCAGAACAUCGCAGCAUGGCAGCCCACCAUGCAAGGAACAGCAAUUCUGGCUUUGGUGGACCAAUGUGAAUAAAAAGGCUUCAUUGGGUGAAGACUUAGAAAAGUCCAAAAAUGCAUUGGCGUUGUUUCCUAAGGAAUCUAGUGUUGGGUACUGUUUAA